AUGAUCGAAACUGAACAAACUGAGCGACUUAUAUCUCUGUAUUACACAGAGACACCAAGCCAGGUGUUUCUGAUCCAUCUUCAUUCUUUAUAUCAGAUCUCUGUAACUUGCUUUUGAAGUUUGAAUUUUGAAUUUUGGUGUUCAUAUAAAUGAUAUCUAGCUUUCAGAUUCUAAGAAUGCUCAUAUAUUUCUCCUUGAGAAGAAGCACCGAGAACCACAUUUUCUGUAUAAUUCAAAGUUUUUGUAAAUGA
rnacentral:lncRNA from 1 species